AGAGUUUGAUCAUGGCUCAGAUUGAACGCUGGCGGAAUGCUUUACACAUGCAAGUCGAACGGCAGCACGGGAGCUUGCUCCUGGUGGCGAGUGGCGAACGGGUGAGUAAUAUAUCGGAACGUAUCCAAUAAUGGGGGAUAACUAAGCGAAAGCUUGGCUAAUACCGCAUACGCCCUGAGGGGGAAAGCUAGGGAUCUUCGGACCUGGCGUUGAUGGAGCGGCCGAUAUCUGAUUAGCUAGUUGGUGGGGUAAAGGCCCACCAAGGCGACGAUCAGUAGCUGGUCUGAGAGGACGACCAGCCACACUGGAACUGAGACACGGUCCAGACUCCUACGGGAGGCAGCAGUGGGGAAUUUUGGACAAUGGGCGCAAGCCUGAUCCAGCCAUUCCGCGUGAGUGAAGAAGGCCUUCGGGUUGUAAAGCUCUUUCGCAAGGGAAGAAAGAUUACGCUCUAACAUAGCGUGAUUAUGACGGUACCUUGAUAAGAAGCACCGGCUAACUACGUGCCAGCAGCCGCGGUAAUACGUAGGGUGCGAGCGUUAAUCGGAAUUACUGGGCGUAAAGCGUGCGCAGGCUGUUUUGUAAGUCAGAUGUGAAAUCCCCGAGCUCAACUUGGGAACUGCGUUUGAAACUACAAGACUAGAAUAUGUCAGAGGGGGGUAGAAUUCCACGUGUAGCAGUGAAAUGCGUAGAGAUGUGG
rnacentral:rRNA from 1 species